CCAGCACCACCGCCUAGGCCACCAUAACCUCCAGCUCCACCACCGGCGCCUGCGCCACCAUAUCCUCCAGCUCCACCACCGGCGCCUGCACCACCAAAUCCGCCAGCUCCACUACCGGCGCCACCGUGUCCGCCAGCACCAGUACCACCACCUAGGCCACCAUAACCUCCAGCUCCACCACCGGCACCUGCACCGCCAUAUCCUCCAGCUCCACCACCGGCGCCUGCACCACCAAAUCCGCCAGCUCCACUACCGCGUCCGCCAGCACCACCUCCGGCACCUGAACUACCGUAACCACCACCUGACUCCCCGCCACCCCUGUCCGAACAGGCAACACUGACACACGAAAGUACAAAACGAAUAGAGUAA
rnacentral:misc_RNA from 1 species